CCGCAAAGUGUAACGCGGCAGUUAUGGAGACGGUUUAGUCAAGCGCCGCAGUUUGAGUCAAUUAGCGGCGGUCUACUUUCAAUUUCUAGCGGUUACUAAGUAUUUUGUGGCGGUUUAACCAGAGGCGGUUGGGGGAAGCGCCGCAGAAUGAUUAAAACUCAAAACCCUAAGUUACGUUAAACCCACCUCACCUCUUUUUUCCCUUUCCAUGUUUCUUAUCUCAGAUCGCGAUUUCACCCACGUCCUUUCUCACUUCACGUUGAACCUCCUUCAUUGCUUCUCAGCCAGAUUUGGAUUGCGAUUUGUCAUGGAUUGAAAGGAAGAGGCAUGGAUGGAACCUCCUUCAUUGUUUCUUCAGCCAGAUUUGGAUCGCGAUUCCCUUUUCUUCUCCACCAGAUUUGGAUCGCGAUUCCCUUUUCAUUGCUUUCUGUGUGCAAAUCUUCCAGUGAAAAUCGAAUCAGGUCCAGGAGGCUUUUGGUGCGAACAAGACAGUGUUUCCUCCUAAAUGGUUUCAUUUUAAAAACCAGAUAGACACCAAAAAGAAGGAAGCAGAUAUUAUCCAGACAUUGAUUAGCUUUUCAAUGUUAAGGGCUAUGUUGUUUUAAUCUCAAUAUUUCUUUUUGAACUUAGAUAAGGAGAUGAAUAAGCCCAACAAAGGAGGAACAACUGUAGCAUCAAAGAAGUGGCAAUACACUUAUGCUGAGGUGUUGAACAUCACAAGCAACUAUAUUAUUUGGCAUAAGGGUAAUUAUAUUAUAACCUUGAUCUGCAUUUUUUUUUAUCAUUAUGGCUGUUAGAGCUGAAAAUGAUGAGGGGCCACUCGUGCAAGAUCAAGGUGGGCGUAGGCAGUGGAAAGUUUAUUCUAGAAGGGGCAAGGUGGAAAUUGGAGGGGGGACUAAGGGAAUAUCUGUGUAACUGACUCUAUAACAGAAUGGAGAGAGAGAGAGGGUGAGGUGGAAGAUGGUAGGAAUCUAGUAUAAAGAAGGCAAUAGUGAGGUUGAGAGGUUACCAAAAUCUUUAGCUAAUUUGAGAGAUGGAUAGGAAGCACUGAGCUUCCUAUUAGGAGCCUAGCUCUUGUCAGAUUUGGGUGCCAUUCCCUUUCUGUGUAUUUGCCAGUACCAUUAAUAAACAAUCUUCUCUGUUUGCAUCUA